CACUUGAUAAUUUCUCGUGCCCGCAUUGUGUUCUGAGCUCAAAUUUUAUUUUCUCCUUACCAACACAAAAGCCUCUUGCCGAAGAGGCAAUGGUUUCCGGGUAUGUCGCGGUUAUACGUGUUUUGUUUCAUUUUUAUUUUUUUGUUUUUGUACUGUUAUUUCAUUUUAUCUUGAGGAUUACUUGUUAUUUGGUGACAACUUGACAUCAGUUUAUGUAUUUGGUCAUUGUGGUCUUUUGCUUGGGUAAGAUAUAGCUCUUGUGUUUGUGUUAUUUACAGGAUUCAUUGUUUGUUUCAGCUAAUUUUAAGUUUCAUCUACCUUAGCGGGGUAUGGGUCCCUGUGUAAAAGAAUCCCCCACUAUAGCGAAGCUAAUUUAUAUGUCUAUAGUUGUAUUAAUGUGGUAUCUAAAUGGAGUAUUAUUACUCGUGAGUUAUAGUUCAAAUCAACAGUACUCAUGUACGUAAAACAUAAUUUAGAGCUAAGCCAUCAGAACCAAACUAAGAAACAUAAAAGUGAUUCCUCUAAUACAGAUGGAGGCCAUUAUUCUCUUAUUCACAUACAAUCCUAAAAAAUUUCCCUAAGAUGAAUUCCUUUUACGGAAACCAAGUUAGUACAUAUAUACAUAUGAUAUCAUCAUUUAGGAACCCCUUAAGAUUGGGGGCCCUGUGCAAGGGCACCUAUUGCACAUGCCCAAGGCCACCACUGCAAUCCAUUCCCAAAUAUUAAUAUCUAUCCCAAAUAUUAAUGUAGGCAAAAUUCAUGCCUCUGCAAUCCAUUCCCAAGAUGAGAAUUGUUUACAGAAAAAAAAAAUGAUCUGAAUUACAUCGGGGUUGUUGAAUCUCUUUCUAAAAUUUCUUAGUAACGAACUGUUUCAAGUCGCUUUACAUAUUGAAAAACUCUGCUUGAAGUAUUACAUCUUGGUUUCUAUCCAUGAACCCUUUUCUUUGGUUACAUUAAGUGCUAAACUCAAUAUCUGCAGUUCAUGGUAGAACAUGAUAUUUGUUAUCUUUUUCCUCUCUCUCCUAGAAAUAGGGAACAAGCCAUCUAAGAAAUAGCUAUCACCAAUUUUAUUAAUGUAAUUUUUUUUACUGGAACUGAAAAUAGUCAUUGUCACAAAUGCUAACGGGUUUAUUGUGCUUCAAGAAGCUCCACACAUGCAUUUCUGAAGUUUUCUAUUAUAGAUAGUACUUGCAUUUGUAUAUGCUAAUCUUUGCAACUUCAAUUUUGCAUUUGUACAUGCUAAUCUUUGCAACUUCAAUACAAUUUGACAGUGCCAUUUUUUAAGUCUCAAAGGCUGCAUCGUUUUGGUUAUGUUUGUUGGCAAUCUCACCGCCGCAAUCGCUCCACGCUUUGUUGUUAAGUUUUUGUAUCAGUAUUAUAGACCUUGUGAUGUUCAGAUUGCAAGAGAAUUCGAGAAGUUUGGCAAUCCAAGAGCGUCCCCUGCACAAAUAGAAAUGGAUGCGAUCUUGGACCCGCCGAGGAGAUGAGCAGGUGAUGUUAUUGCUUUCGACAUCUCCUUCUUUUUGUAUCUUUUGUAAAAAGGUUAUUCUUUAGGCUGCUUCAGAGUAUCUCUCUCCCAGUUGCCUCAUUGUUCAUUGUUUGCUAUCCGAAGGAUAGGGUUUGUAACUUUGUAGUGCUAGGCUUAUAUUUUGUGUUCCUCUUUUGUUUUGUUGUACCUUAUUCAUUCGGUGUAAUUAGACUUGUUUAAAGAGAAAAGAAUUAGACAAUCGAUACAAUACAUGAAUUUUACCACAUAAGUUUGGAUUGUGUUCAGAUUGAAUCCUUCAUACCAACUUGAAAUCGACCAAAAAGUACAGGGGUUUCAAACAGAUGUAGGACAGAGUCCUACAUCCUGCCUCAGGUCUCCUCUCGUCUCCUUUCUUUCAUUCAGCGACUUGGGAGAUAAAAAAUAUAAUAUACAAAUUAUGUGGGAAGUUUACCAUUAAAUAUUACUGUGGCAUUAUGUGAUAAAGUUUACACCAAGUAAUCGAUGGUUAAGGACAAUAUCAGUGAAUGAAUGAGAUCAUAAGCAACACCUAGUAAUGAUAAAACCCACGCCUAGUAAUGAUAGGCCUAAAAAGUGUCAUGGUAUCACUAUCAAAACAUGUUAUUCU
rnacentral:lncRNA from 1 species